UAAUGGGCGAGAGCCUGAACCAGCCAGUAGCGUGAAGGAUGACUGCCCUAUGNNAANGUAAACUUCUUUUAUAAAGGAAUAAAGUCGGGUAUGGAUACCCGUUUGCAUGUACUUUAUGAAUAAGGAUCGGCUAACUCCGUGCCAGCAGCCGCGGUAAUACGGAGGAUCCGAGCGUUAUCCGGAUUUAUUGGGUUUAAAGGGAGCGUAGAUGGAUGUUUAAGUCAGUUGUGAAAGUUUGCGGCUCAACCGUAAAAUUGCAGUUGAUACUGGAUAUCUUGAGUGCAGUUGAGGCAGGCGGAAUUCGUGGUGUAGCGGUGAAAUGCUUAGAUAUCACGAAGAACUCCGAUUGCGAAGGCAGCCUGCUAAGCUGCAACUGACAUUGAGGCUCGAAAGUGUGGGUAUCAAACAGGAUUAGAUACCCUGGUAGUCCAAGGGCGAAUUC
rnacentral:rRNA from 1 species